CAUAUCAGUAAGCGGAGGAAAAGAAAAUAACAAUGAUUACCUUAGUAGCGGCGAGUGAAUAGGUAAAAGCCCAAGAUGUUAAUCUGCUAUAAUGUAGUAGAAU
rnacentral:rRNA from 1 species